GGGUUGUGAGGUUAAGCGACUAAGCGUACACGGUGGAUGCCCUGGCAGUCAGAGGCGAUGAAGGACGUGCUAAUCUGCGAUAAGCGUCGGUAAGGUGAUAUGAACCGUUAUAACCGGCGAUUUCCGAAUGGGGAAACCCAGUGUGUUUCGACACACUAUCAUUAACUGAAUCCAUAGGUUAAUGAGGCGAACCGGGGGAACUGAAACAUCUAAGUACCCCGAGGAAAAGAAAUCAACCGAGAUUCCCCCAGUAGCGGCGAGCGA
rnacentral:rRNA from 1 species